CCAGCAAAGCCUCCCGCUGUGUCGACAAAUCCCGAUAGGAGCUGCACAUAUCUCGUUCUCAGGGCACACCGGAUGAGCAAGACGUCGGGUUGGCAUAGACCCUGGUUGCCCAGGGGGCGCCAGACAUCGCUCGGUUUGGACCAGCACUUAGACAAGCACUGGCCCGGGGGGGCUAAAAUAAAGAUGACCCUCGGGUUGGCCGACCCAAGGGAAAGGGAUAGGUGGUGGUGAGGCAAAUGGUAAAACCAAGGUUGGGCCUUGCUGGACAAGUUUUAUUCAAAGCGAACUGUCAGGGGGGUCCCAUAAAUCACCCGACCGCGUUAGGAACGCAAAAUCCGGGAACAUAACACCGGUAUGACGGAAACUAGGGCGGCAAGAGUGGAACAAAACACCAGGCAUAAGGCCGAGCCUUCCACCCUUUACCAAAUAUAUAGAUGCAUUAAAAAUAUAAGAGAUAUUGUGAUAUCCCAACCAAAAUCCUGUCCACCAUGGAGAAAUCUUCAACUUCACCUGCAACUAGCAACGCUAUAAGAGGGGCUGAGCAAAAGCGGUAACAUAGCCAAACAGUGGUUUGCAUAGGAAAGGUGUCAAAGGUUAGAGGUUCAUGGCAAUAUGGGAUGGCUGGACAAAAAGGCAAUAGGUAGCGCAGCAUAGCGAAAGAACGAGGCAACUAGCAUAGCAAUGAUAGUAGUGAGAUCCAGGGUAGCGGUCAUCUUGCCUGAAAUCCCGCAAGGAAGAAGAACGAGUCCAUGAAGAAGACGAACGGGAGAAGUCGAAUGAAUCCUCACAAUCGCAAC
rnacentral:rRNA from 1 species